rnacentral:rRNA from 1 species
AUGCACGCUGGCGGCGUGCCUAAUACAUGCAAGUAGAACGCUGAAGGCGGAGCUUGCUCUUCUGGAUGAGUUGCGAACGGGUGAGUAACGCGUAGGUAACCUGCCUGGUAGCGGGGGAUAACUAUUGGAAACGAUAGCUAAUACCGCAUGACAACAGUUAUUGCAUGAUAACUGUUUAAAAGGGGCAACUGCUCCACUACCAGAUGGACCUGCGUUGUAUUAGCUAGUUGGUGAGGUAACGGCUCACCAAGGCGACGAUACAUAGCCGACCUGAGAGGGUGAUCGACCACACUGGGACUGAGACACGGCCCAGACUCCUACGGGAGGGAGCAGUAGGGAAUCUUCGGCAAUGGACGGAAGUCUGACCGAGCAACGCCGCGUGAGUGAAGAAGGUUUUCGGAUCGUAAAGCUCUGUUGUAAGAGAAGAACGAGUGUGAGAGUGGAAAGUUCACACUGUGACGGUAUCUUACCAGAAAGGGACGGCUAACUACGUG